CAAACGACUCUUGGCAACGGAUAUCUUGGCUCACGCAUCGAUGAAGAACGUAGCAAAAUGCGAUACUUGGUGUGAAUUGCAGAAUCCCGUGAACCAUCGAGUUUUUGAACGCAAGUUGCGCCCAAAGCCUUUUGGCCAAGGGCACGUCUGCCUGGGCGUCACAU
rnacentral:rRNA from 1 species